rnacentral:rRNA from 1 species
AUUGAACGCUGGCGGCGUGCUUUACACAUGCAAGUCGGACGAGUGGCGAACGGGUGAGUAACGCAUCGGAACGUACCCGGUAAUGGGGGAUAACUGUCCGAAAGGACAGCUAAUACCGCAUACUAUCCGAGCGGCCCAUGUUUGAUUAGCUGGUUGGGGGGGUAAAGGCUCACCAAGGCGACGAUCAGUAGCGGGUCUGAGAGGAUGAUCCGCCACACUGGGACUGAGACACGGCCCAGACUCCUACGGGAGGCAGCAGUGGGGAAUAUUGGACAAUGGGCGCAAGCCUGAUCCAGCCAUGCCGCGUGUCUGAAGAAGGCCUUCGGGUUGUAAAGGACUUUUGUCAGGGAAGCGGUACCUGAAGAAGAAGCACCGGCUAACUACGUGCCAGCAGCCGCGGUAAUUC